rnacentral:sRNA from 1 species
UGGCGUCGGCGAACGCACGCAUGCGGUCUU